rnacentral:tRNA from 1 species
UGCUUUGUGGUGUAGUGGUCAGCACACUCGGCGUGUAUUCGAGAGGUCCGUGGUUCGAGUCCCGGCAAGGGUA